GCCCAGGAUCCGAACCCGAGAACCCUGGGCCGCCAAAGUGUAGCACACAAAAAUUUAAAUCUUGGGUUUUCCAAGAUAAAUAUGUUCUUUGAGUGUAGUUACAUUGUCUCUCAUAUAUUAUUUCUAUUUCAGAGAGUAAAAAGGAGUAAUCGGUAUUUACUUCAAGAGAUAUUUUUUGUAUUGGAUUCAAAUGUUAUCCAGUCUGUUCUCAACUUACUCAUUUUUUUGGAGCUCAAAUCAGAAUAAGAGUUCUUCUAGCACUAUCACACUUUCUGAAAUUCACCUUUAAACUUGUGUUACUUACAAAAUUGGGAUCCUGCUCCAGAGAAAGUUGGCUGUGACAGAAAAUCUAUAAGAGAAGAGAAUUCAUCGAACCUUGCCAACCUUCGAGCAGGCUUUUCCUUAGAUGAUUAAAUAUCAGCCAGAAAAAGUGGAAACUAAAUUGUCCAUUCACUUAAACUCAGAUUGUAAACCUAAAGUGGCUCAAUAAACCAAUUUUUCUUCCUC